CGGACCGCUGUAAAAGAAGGAAAAAGCGCAGAGACGGCAACGGGUCCCGAGGAAACGGAGAAAGUAUACGGGGCCGUGGGUCCCGAGCCAGAGGCCGGGGCGAGCGAUAAGGAAAAUUACCCGCCGCCGUCCGAGGUGCCGAUAAACUCCCCGGGUUCGGGGGCAGAGGCUGAAGAACGAGAAACGGAAGCCGACGCGGGGUAUGACACGGACGACGGGGUGAUCGAGCUGACCUCUUCAGAGGAUGACGAGAGCGGGGCUCGGACGGGGGUAGCCGU